AAGCCAAGGAAAGCAGCGUUAUUUCCUUCCCACCACGCACAGAACGGUCAUUAUGGGUUUGCAGGAGGCUUGAAAUAAAGCUUGCUCAGCAAGAGUGACUCCAAUGUUUGGAAUGUGAGAAAUUAAUUUAAAUUCUAGGCCAGUGUGGUUUUAUUAGCACAAGCAGGCUGCAACAAGAUGGGGAUUCAAAUAUUUUGUCCAGAACACACUGAGGAGAUCAUGGCAGAGACUGCUGUACCCCCAGUCACUUGUGCUACUCUCUCUGCAGAGGCUGCAGUUACCUUGAUAAGGUGUUCCAAGGUAGGUACAGGUGUAAACAUCUGCAUGCACAAACACACUCCCCAAAGAAAAAGCAUUUAAUUCUCCCUGGGAAAGAGAGUGUAAAAGCUCCAGCAAUUCAAAUUAGAUGCAGAUGACUCAAUCUCUUAGCUACUGACUAUGCAGUUAUUUUUAAAAUAAUUUUAUGACUGCAGUAAAUCUUUGAGACAGCUCCAUUCUUCACUCAUGCCCCUUAUGGUAGCUCUCUAACCUGAGUGAAGGAUACAGGAUGAUAAUUAACAUUUUGGGACUUCCUGACCUCAAUAGAGAGGGGAAAAGGCCCAAUUUAAUAGCAGAACUCUGCUGCCAGAGCUGAAAGAUUCUAAAGCCAUUUAAGAUAACAAAAGCUUAUCCAUAUCUAAGAAUUCCUGUUUCUUAUGGCUCAUUUUCUACUUUGCUAGGGUAGUGAAAGCAGCAAUUAAAUUCCUCUGCUGCUUCUAUGCAUGAAGCGUAACAACAGCAAUUGUACUUCAGGAUUCUCAAGAAGCACAUUUUUCAUUGCAGCAUUCUCACUUACUUUCACAAGGGGAAGCUUUUUUUAAAAUCAAGCACAGGUAUUUAGCGUCCUUGAGUUUACAUAACACAACAGUGAUCUAUUACACUGUUGCUUGGCUUUGACACUUUCUGCUAAGCUUAUAAAAUUAUCUUUUCUCAUCCUGCAUAGAAAGCAGAUCUAGGAAUUAAAUGCUCUUACACAAGCUAAGGCAAUAUCAUUUGGCUCUCACAAGCUUCAUCAGAGUACCCAGGGCUCUAUUACUCCUAGCUACAAGCACAACUACAUAAUGUUACUUACUAGCACUAACCAGCUUCACUUGGUAUUCAGCUGUGCUCUCAGACUCACAGAAACUAAAGGAAUUGCUGUUAAGAAAGAGACUGGCCCCUCAAGGUUAUACAAAAGACUCUUGUUGGACACUCGGCAGCUAAAAUAAUUGCUGCAAGGAGAGAGACUCCAGCAAGUUAUGCAAUUGUGUCAUUGGCCAGCAUCAGGCUCUCAUCCACCCUGUCUGUGAAGGAUCCAGGCACUACACGACACUCCCGUGGCAAUCCUUCAGGAGCUCCACGGCCCCCCUGCGCUGUGACACGCAGCCGUGGAGGUGGGAAGCAAAGGAGGAGGACUAAAUUAAAAACUGUCAAAUCAGAAAGCAUAACUUGUUCUGUAAGAGAUCUGAUACUGGUCUGUACGAUUUAUUGAUGUACUAGACAUACAUAACAUAGAGCUUAUUUUAUUCACUUUUAUGAAAGCCUAGAUAUCACAUUUCAGCAACUGCACAGAACCAGGAGAUCUAUUACUGCUCUACUAAAUCUUCUUCGCCUAACAGAAUUGCUUUUGGAGAGAGACACAGUUUGAAUCCAGGACAAUUACAUCACUCUCGUGAACUUAUGGAAAGUGAGAACAACAGAGUGGUAGGUCCUCAAGGUGUGGAUUUCUCCAAAGCUGAGCUAAAAGUGACAUGAUUUCCACAAAUUUCUCCUGGGAUCUUCACGCCAUGUCAGAAGUGUCUGCUUCACAGUCUGGAAUUGUUGGGAGGUUGUUGCACAUGGAGGUGUCACUUGAGGAUAAUGCUUCUGAUAAAUAUUACUGCAUCACUGUGGAGGGGCAGAGCUGCAU